rnacentral:sRNA from 1 species
UGUCUAUGCCCUCCUUGGGCGUUUCCUCCCUAGACUUCGGCCGCCUGCGGGCGGUCUUUUUUUUGCCUGCU